rnacentral:lncRNA from 1 species
UGUCCAUCAGGGGAGAUAACUACCACAUUGUUACGAGAAUUGUAUCCCACCACGUACACAUUGCCAUCAUUAUCUACAUCAAUACCACAAGGACUCUUUAGAACGCUUUCGUUAUGGAAUGUCCAUUGUAGUUUACCAUGUAGGUUAUAACAUGUCACAGUGUGUUUUGAUUGUUUGUAUGAUAUAUAUUGUCCCUAAAAGUUGCAGUGUAGCAACCACUGGUCAUUGCUUCUCGGACUAAGUCACAUAUAGACUCAUCGUUUAAAUCGAUCAUUCGUAUACCUUUGUCUCUCCCUGAAUAAAUCAAUCGAUUAUCUUUUAGUGAUAUGCCAUAAAUGUCAGAAUCCAACGCAAUUGAUUUCAUCAUUUGUUUUGUCUCCAGGUUUAUUAUGGUAAUGGUACGUGGACUAUAAGAUGAUACAGCCAAUGUAUUGUCUUCUCUAAUGUAUACUAUAUCAAACGGCUUACAUGGCAUCUUGAUCUCAAAGUCUGGUGAUCCUUUAUCACUGAAAACUUUUAAUUGUUUGGCAAAGUAGUAAGUAAAUACCAAUCUAUCAUCUGGAAGUAUGCAACAUCCGUGAACGUAGUUUCCUUGAGUGUCGAUGGACUUGUGUAAUGUUAUCUUUAUAUUUUCUAUAGAUUUUGUUGGAGCGAUUGGAAUCAUCAAUUGGGCUUGUCUGGCCUUCUUCUUGAUCAGAACUAUGUCGCAUGGAUUUGAUUUAAUACGCACUUCCCCAAAACUUCUGAUAUCGGAUAUGAUAUUCUGGAUAGAGGUGUUGAUCUGAUAUGAAAGAGUAUGCUGUUCCUUGCCUUCUACAAGAGCCUGCAAUUUUUUUUCUUUGCUAUAAACGUCCUUUUCUAUUUGCUUAAUUGAGAGAAACAUUUGAAGAUCUGUUGCGUUUUUCUUGAUGUUCAAUAGGCUAUUUUGGCAUUCUCCUAUUUCUUUUUCUUUCUUCUCUAGCGAGGCCAUUAACUGACAAAUUUUAGAGUUUUCUUUUUCUUCGAGCUCGUUGAGUUGUUUCAUUAAAUCUUCUUGUAGUUUGUCGAGGUGGUUAUUGAUCUUCAUUCUAGUUUUCUUUAGAUCUUUUUCGAUUUCCUUUCUCUUUUCUUUCAAAGUCAUCUGAUUGCUCUGUUGAUGCUGACGAAUUUUCUUUAGAUUUUCUGCUACUUCAAUUAAUGUUUCCUCUAUCUCGCUCAGGGCAUAGGAGGUUUUGGCGGUAGAAAUGAUAUCAUCUAAUUCGACAAUGUCCCGGCAGUCUUUGUGGCCUUCCACGAUACAUGUGCUGCAGCAG